GGAGGCAAAUGAUGUUUAAACAAAAAUCUUAUACUACACACUGAAAUUUAAUGAAGAAAAAUUAACUCUCAAUUAGUUUACUGAUGCCUCU
rnacentral:snoRNA from 1 species